rnacentral:tRNA from 1 species
GGGGAGGUGCCAGAGUGGUCGAUUGGGGCCGCCUGCUAAGCGGUUAACCGGUCUUUAAAACCGGUUCGCAGGUUCGAAUCCUGUCCUCCCCGCCA